GGAUCAUGACAUUUUGGUAAGAGUGUAGUUGCUAGUACCAGGCUGGGUUAAUUUUUAGCAUAUCUUGUUCCUAAUUGACAGCUAUUGAACAAUAAAGCUAAGUACCUCAGUUUCCUAAUCUGUAAGUUUUUCCAAGGACAGCAGUAGUAAGGAAGAAACCCCCACAUUUAUCACUAUCAUAUUAACACUAUCUAAAAGUUGUUUGAUUGUUUGCUUACAAUUCAAAUGCCUAUCUCUCCUAAUUAGAAUUAAACUGUUUUUAAGGC